UUAUAUUUCAGUAGAGAGCUCGCCAUGAGAGCUGUACCGUGGCUUUAAACCAAAUCCCAAAGUAGAACUUAUAAGAUGAUUUCAACGACGAGUGUUCUAUCCUUUGUGGUAGAGGAGGUGAAGAGUGCAUUUAAGCGUCUCCAAGUUCAUAGAAGAGCCCCAUGCUCAAGAAGAGCGCACAACAGCCAAGUCAAGUAUACCCGGAGGGUUAAUGAAGCUCCACCCACCGAAAAGAAAACACGACCUGAAAACUCGUGUCAAAUGCGCGAAAACGAUUUGCAAGUGCAAAAUCGGGACACUGGGGCAGAGAGUAACAGUGGAGGCACGGAGGAUGAUGGGGAAAUUCUAGCGCAACCAUCCUGCGCUGAAUCAGUCACAGUUAAUCGAUUAAGUCCUAACAUGGUUUUUCAGGGGCAUGACGUAUUUUCUCGAAAUAUCACGGACAUUGCUGUUCGAAUACUUGAUGAAGCCAUUGUUUACCACCAAAGUGACGAGAUUGUCAGUGCGCGUAGAAGGGUAGAAGAUCUUUUCCAAAUACUGACCAAAAGUCAAGCACAUUGUUUUAAGGAUCCAACGAAGUAUGACUUGGAGGUACUAAGGCGUGGAAGAAAACACUUUCUGGAGGAGGGCGUGAGUUGUUCAAUAAAACACGGAACUUUACUCCUAGAUUCAAGUAGUCGUGGAGCACAGUUAAAACACGGAACUUUAGUCUUAGAUUCAAUUACUAGUGGAGCACAGUUUUACUCUGGAUUGCUAAACGUCUUGGCAGCAUUUGCAUUGCUUAUUUCCGAAUUUGAAAUUGCGCAAAAGACAUUUGACCUGCUGCUCCAAUUGCAUCACCAAUCCAAGACAACUGGUCGUUUACAAGACCUUGGUGCUGCCCACAACAACAUGGGGUGUGUUCAUCUCAUUAUGGGCGAUUUUCUAAAGGCAGAAGAAGCUUUUAAAACUUCCCUUGAAAAAUUUUGUCACUCGGAGAGCUCGUCAACUGAAAUAAAAGUUUUUGCUGUAAAUAACAACAUGAGCCGGUUAAAUCUGAUUUCUAAAAAGUAUUGCGAAGCCCUUGAACAACAAGAGAAAUUGGUAAAAAUCUGCCAAGCUACAGAAAGAAAGGAUGUACCAUAUCCAUUUGAAGUGGUAUUUACGGUAAUGAAUAAUCAGGCGGUGUUGCAUACCACCCUUGGGGACUUCAACAGAGCAGAAAAUGCAUUGAGGUGGUUGAUAACCUACUGCAAAGAAAUGAAUAGGAAAGACUCUGUGUAUCUGGUAACUUUCCUUCGUUUGCAUCUUUCUGAAGUUCUGCUCCUUCAUGGCAAACCAAAGGAGGCUGAUGAAGUGUUUAGCAUUGAAACUUUGAAUUCACUUGAAGAUGUUGUUGACAGGUUUGGAAACCUUUACAUGAACGUGAGAAUCGUAGCUCUUGAGAAGUUAUUAGCGGUCUACAUCUGCAAAGGAAAAAUCAAAACUGCUUUGAAGCUCUUGCAAACAUCCUUAAAAAUCCUUAAGAGUGUGUUUGGAGAAGAUCAUUUCAACUUUGCCUUCCUGUUGUACAAACAAGGCAAAAUUUUGAGUCUUGCUGGAGAAUUCCCCAGCGCCGCUGCAAAGUUCGAGAGUUCCAGUCACAUUCUGCAACAGAUCUUCGGCGUUAAAAAUCACCUCCUUCUCAAGUGCUAUCUGUAUCUUGGUGACUUGAAAUCGAUACUGGGUCAAAAAGAUGGAUCUUACGUUUACUAUCAGAGAGCCGCUGAGAGCAUAGAAGCCAUUUUCCAAGUGUCUUUUGUGGAGGAAUUGUCAAUUAAGUACAUGGAAAUUAUUGGCGGGUACAAAACCUUUCAAAGGCAGCGAGUAUCAGAGGAUGGAAUUGAAGGUUUGGUCGCCGAGUAUGGGCAUGUCUUGGCCAUACUGUUAAACCACGACAGUAACAGUCACUUGAGGAAACGCAUAGCUGAUGGAAAAGAGGUCACCGUGAAGAAAAUGACACGUCUCUGCUCAAUAUCGAGGUCGACCCUCUCUUUGAAAUGUUCAUUAGAUUUUCUUAAGAGUGGACGAAAGCUUCUCCGUUAUGGAAUGAUAAAGGAAGCUGUCAUUUUUUUCCAACAAGCAGACAUGCAUUGUGGAGUGCAUGCAAUCCAAGCUCACCCUGAUGUGAGUGUCGCACGCCUACACAACAUAUUCCUUCGGAAGAAAUUUAAACGUCAAGAGACAUUAAAACUAGACCGCAACUUGAGAGACUUUAUGAAAGCCCUUGGCAAAGUCAUACAAGAAAGAAGUUCUGAGAGCAUCGUGGAAGAAACUUCUGGAGCUACGCCAACGGUGGAGUCUGACAUUAAUCUAGACUUGAGGCCUGUGCUUAUCUCUCUUCUGCUGUUCUGCAUAGAGCGAAAAAUGAUCGAAACCACCUUUGAAGCCUAUGAUCUAUAUUGCAAACUUUUUCAAAACGAAACGGAUUCCCCAUUUUUGCUCCUCGAUGGGAUUCAGGUUUAUGCUUCAAGAACUGUAAUCACCUGUAAUGGGAAAACAGCUUUACAAGAUAUUCUCAUUUUCUCUGAAAUUGGUCUGAACGCGAGCGACGUGGAAGGCGAUGCCGCGGACACACAGCUGUUUCGCAGCCUGGCGUACAUGGAAAAUGCACCCAGAAAUGCUUUUCUGGUGGCCAGCAAAUCACCGGUCUUUUUAGAUGUCGAUGACCUUCAUUCUCUAAAGGAAAAGAUCACGCUUGCGGUACAAGAGUGCUUUCAAAGAACGUGCUUUGAAGCUGAAAACAAAAGCCACGCGAUGCAGGUCAUUUUGGAUUUAACUCCAACAGUAUCAUGUGGCCUCCAAGACAUCUUGUGUACAGACAGUCGUAUUGAUUUGUUACCUCUUUGUUUAUCAGAACUUUCAAGCAAUGACACACCCCAUAAAAAGACAAUCUUUGAGAUAGAAACAUCAAUGUGUCAGAGGAUUACUCAGGUGACGUUUAAAGAUGAGCAAACAAGCUGUUUCAUGUUUAGAAAAGUUGCACUGAACCUUCUUCAGCAGAAUGACACAGAAAGAAUCUCAUCAAUACUGGCACAGAAUCACAGCUUUUCCUUGACAGUUCUCCAUCCCGGAAAGGCAAGGCUGGUUAUGUCACGCAGGGAAAAAUUGAUCACGCAAAAGAUCCAGUUCGUUACAACAAGAACAACUAUUACCAAGUAUGAAGUGCCAUCAGUCACACUCUGUGAAACCAGUAGCACCUCGAAUCAUGGGUGGAAGGGAACUAAAAACUCUUCUCAAGUCUACAAAGGAGAAACUGCUGUUCCUUCUGAAUUCGAAGUGGAAGACAGGCAAAAACAAAGAAGAGAGAAACUUGUAGAGUGCCUCAUGACUGUCAGCCAGAUAUCACGACUGCUUUACAGCGUGGAAAGUCCAGUGACUCACGAUGACAUCUGUCUGGCGGAUCCGGAUCAAUGUCAUAAUGCUCAUGAAAGUCUGGAAGACGAGAAAUGCAUUUCCAGGGAGGAUAAAGUAAGUUUGGAGGAUCUGGGUGACGAUGACGCAAGACGUCUGGCUGCUUCCUUUCAAACUCAGGAAGACCAGGAAAACACUUCGAGUACACAUCAGCAUUUGACAGAGAGUUCAGAAGGAAAUGAAAAUAAUAAGCGUACGUUGAACGUUCCUAACAUUAACACUGUUGAGACUAGCAAAAGUAACCAUGGUGACGAAUCCAUGCCCAGAGAAGACGUUUGUGAGAUAUUGGAGGGGAAACGUCUAUUUGAAGACGAUAGAAAGUCAAGACGUUUUUUUAUGGCUGACUUGCAAAAAAGCUUGAAGGAUAAGCAACAAGGCCAACUGAACUCCAAUAAAGGUGAGUCAAUUCAAUCCAACAGAGCAGACCCAUAUGAUGUUUCAAAGUUGCAGUCAAGCCAUAUGCAAAAUGAUAGCAACUGUGGUAAUUUGGAGGUUCCGCAUGAAAAUCCAGAGGCCCAGGAACCAAGCCCAACUCCCACUUCCAGAAAUGUUAGUACUCAGGAAAAUAGCCAUAGGAUUAGUUCACUGGAGGGCAAGACGGCUAAGGAAGAUGACAAACUCAUGACAAAACAGCCUUCACCACAAAGCCCAGCCCCUAACAACGUAGGACAUCGUAACAACUUCGAGGACGUAAGUAGCCGCUUGCUUAAAACAACGCUGGAAAAAGAGACCCCCCUCGCAGCCUCCAAAAAAAGUGACGGCUCUAGCCUUUUGGAAAGAAAGCCGUACGCUGAGAACGUAGAGACAGCGAGAAAUGAUGUUCGUUCAAGCACGCAAAGCACUAUUAAAACCAACAGGCAGACCCCCUCACGUAGCCAAGAGGUACAAGACACUUUAAGAGUUGAUGAAAAAGAGGAAAGGCAGGCGAAACCCAGCAUAGAUAAUUUUAAAAGGAGAAAACAACACAUUGGGGAAGGAAGCGAACGAAAUGAGGUGGAAAUCGCAGCAUAUGGAACCAAUACACCGGAAAAUCAAGAAACUCCUCGUCCAGAUUAUGACGACAAGGCGACAUUGAAAACAUUUGGUUCAGUUGCUGGAGAAGUUUUCCCAGUUGGAUCCAUGAACAACGGUACCAGGGAAAGCCAAAAUAACGUGGUUGAUCUUUUAAAUGAGACGCAUAGUGUGGAUGGGCCAAACCUACUAGAGGAAAAUGGAAUGCAUUCUACGAAAAAAAGAGAACUAACCAUACAUUCCAAGUCAAUAGCCACCAUCUCAAUCUGCAAUAAAACUAUCCCUAGAUUCUUGUGUCAAGGGGGUGAUGUUACUGACGGCGAAAGCCACAAGGACCUUGCUGUUGAUGCAUCAGUUCUUGCCAAACAUUCUGACAAGGACAAUCUUGACUUUGUGUUCAUACCUAACCACGAGGUAGAAGAUGCUAUCGGAGUUGAUCUAGAGGGGCAAAGACAAACGAAGCCUGAUGUAAGUAAAUUUAACAUUAGAAAACAAGACCUUGAAGGCAGGGAACGAAGUGGGGCGGAAAUCACAGGAAGAAAAAACAAUACACUAGAAAAGCAAGGCACUUCUUGUUCUGAUCAUAAAGAGAUGACAACAGGGAGAACAUUUGAAGCACUCGGAAGUAAUCAGAGUAACGUGGUAGAUUUUCCAAGACAGACAGAUUUCGUUGACGGGCCCAAAUCAAAAGAAGAAAAUGGAACGCAAUCUUUAAACCAAGGCUCAAGAGUAAUAGACCCAAUAAAUUCAUACGGCCAGAUACAUGUCAAUUCACAAGCCACUAUCUCAAACCACUAUGAAACUAGCACCAGAUCGAUAUGUCAAGGGGGCGAUGUUGUUGCUGACGGCGAAAGCAAUGAAGACAAUCUUAAUAACUUUGAUACUGGAGAUGGACCAGCACUGACACAAAAUCCAAUCAAGGCAUUUAAUGCUGGCGAGAGGUUCACAGCCGACAUGAGGCACAAACGUGUAAUCUCAUGUAGCGAAAACGAGUCACAUACAGAUAGAGAUGCGCUCUGCGAACACAGAUAUCCUCUUAAAAGUAAGACUGACCUCUUUGAAUCUCACUCGUACGACGGGGGAGCAAGACCCAAACAGAGAUCAACAGAUAAUGCCAAAUGCCCCUUACCAUGGCCCAGCGUUACAAAUCCAGUUUCAGCUUACUGUGACUUCGAAUUAGAAAAUCCGGACGAAGAUCCUAUAAUUAUGACACGUCACGUCAAAGAGAGUAGCCCAUUUCCUUCGUUUCACUACGGGGGCAACUAUAAUCUUGCUUCAUUAGACGGUCCGCGGCAGGAAGAUUACGAACAGGAGUACUCUUCAUCUAAUGCUCAUGACCAAGUCUUAAAAGGCAAAGGUCAGAAUUCACCCGACAAGAAAGAGUUCAUUCCACACGAUAUAACCCAAAAAUAUAAUAUGAGUGUUCCUGUAUAUAACGCGUCAGUAACCAAAAACUUUAGUUUUAAUCAAGUAUCGCCACCUGACGGAAAUGAUAAAGAGAGCUGGCAUUUUCCAUCCUCGGAGUCCUGGGAAGAUAGGGUGCCGCGAAGUCAAUGCUUUGCCGAGAGGAAAAACGAGUCAAAUCCAACAUCGCUGCCAAAAUCUUUUGAUGCUAACCGUGAGAAACUCUUCAAUACGUGUAGAUCGGUAUGCGCUUACAACGACAUGGAUUCAAUGGCUAAUGAAUACUCCAGCAGUAUAGCUAACGAUGAAUGUGGGCAGUCGCUACCAUUCAGUGAGAAUGAGCAUCCAUCAACAGAACAUUCACUGGCCUCUAGUUUUAGAUGUCUUCAAGAGAUAAUGAACAAGACUAUUCGGCUUGUUGUCUCAAAUGCUACGGGCGCGGGGGAAACUCAACCCGCAAACCAGUCAGUCGAAAAGACAGGCGUACAAGAAGAAACGGGCAAUAUGGGUGGAGGGGAACUAGACGUAACACAACAAGUUAACGAGACGAAUACUCAAGUAGAAUCUACCCCAUCAAAUGAAACGACAAUAGAAGCCGAGCGGCAACCUAUGGCAACACCUGUACAAGAAAGUCCACGCCCGGUUUGCAGUCAUUAUCAACGCCGAUGCUUGGUUCGGUUUCCCUGCUGUGGAAAGUUCUUCCCAUGCCACCGCUGUCACAACGAGUCAGAUUGUAGUGAGGAUCAGGCGAGAGCAAUUAAUGCCACACACAUACGAUGCACUAUCUGCUAUCACGAGCAAGAGAUCGAUGAAAAUAGCCAGAGAUGUGGCGGCUGCAACGCAAUCAUGUCUGAAUAUUUCUGCUCAACAUGUCGCCAUUAUACCUCCAUGGAUAAAAAUCCCUUCCACUGCGAAAAAUGCGGUAUCUGUAGGAUCCAUCGAGACAGAUCCUUCCACUGCGAUGUUUGUAACGUAUGCCUGGACAAACGUCUUGAAGGAAAACACAAGUGCAGACCUGAUUCUGGACACGAUGAAUGUUGUAUAUGUCUUGAGGACGCCUUCAGUGGUUGUCAAAUUCUCCCAUGCUCUCACAAGGUUCACAAAGACUGUGCGAUUGCAAUGAUACAAAAUGGCGUCCGAAAGUGCCCAAUAUGCCGACAUCCGUUGUUCGGGCAACUUCAAACUAGUUCUCAAAAUUAGCUCAAACAACUGCAAAAUUUCAUUACGAUAGUAAUUUUACCCCUCACUUUUACAAAAUCAUUUUAAUCAUUAAUCAAUUUGUGACCUGCUUUUCUUACUAGCUCGUCCAAACUAAUACCAUAUAUCUCCCAGUGCUCAGAAAAUACCACCGUAUUAGCUACGAGCGAAAUUCUUUCAUAACUACAGCCGCGACCAUAUUAAUUCUCUAUGUCUUUUUUUUUUUAAAUCUAAUGGCUACUGAGCAGGACAUAACAAAUGCACCUUUCUGCACCGGCAAAACAUGACUUUAUUUUUUAACUUAGAAAUGAGUAGGUCUUGAGGAUGCGAGAAAAUUGAGAAAAAUAAGAAUAAAAACCAACAAGAAACAAAGACAAACUCAAAAGUGAAACUUAAAACACGCACACACAAAAAAAAGAAAAAGCGGACAACCAGUCAAGUAACUAAACAAAUGAAAGUGACACAACAACAUUCCAAGAGAAAGAUCGAGAAAACAUACGAACAAACGAAUGCAUAAACAAAUACAUUUACAAGAAAAGAAUACCAAAAACCAAGGCAAUAGAACAAACCCUUCACUUUGCAAAGGUUUUCCUUGGUAUAGUUAACUCAUGUAAAAAUAAAUACUAUCAGUUUUGAGUAAACGAUCGGAUCACUGAAACUGUGGAAUCUCCUACACUGAAUGCGAGAGAAGUCACCCGCCGAUACCGUAAUGGAAUGCAAUCACUCGACGCAAGCUGCAGGAAUGGCUUCUGGAUCUUCGCGCGGAAAUCUGAUUUUCACUUUUGAAAUGUGAUUACCAAACGAAAAGCUUCGCAUGACAAGCUGAAGUCUACCACUUAUUUUGUCGUUAUAUAAAGUGCAUGUUUAUAAGAACCACCGACAGAGACGCAAAUAUAUCGCAGAAUUGUUGUCUCAAUGUUCUGGCCUCUGAUUGGCAAAGAAUUAGAAAUUUCACUUGCAGUGCGGUACUGCUACCGUGCAUUAAACAAAAGCGGAGUUGCGAGACAUAUCUUUGAGCUCUAUAGCAAUUUUUUUCUAUUUUGUUUGGGGGGGAAUAAUUUUUUUGAGGAAGUAGUAUAGAAAUUAGAGAAUUGUAGUCGAUUUCAAAUUUGUCUUUUCACUAGUUAACCAACACCAAUAAUAUCUGUGAGGAUGUCAAUAAAAAUCAGUCUUAAUUUCUA
rnacentral:misc_RNA from 1 species